rnacentral:tRNA from 2 species
GGUAUUAUAUUUUAUAAAGAAAAUUUAACUUGCAAUUAAAAAGAAAUAGAAUUUUAUCUAUUUAAUACCA